rnacentral:rRNA from 1 species
ACGGAAAUACACUUUGUGUUUGGUGUCCGGUUCGAAGANGAUGGGCAGUUUACCCAAGCAGUGANGGUAUGGUUUUCGAAAAAGAAACGGCGCACGGUGGGUACGGGUAUGCAUCUACCUUUACAGAGGAUAGCCCAGAGGAAUUUGGAAUAAUNCCUCAUAGUAUUAUGAAAUGGCAUCAUUUUAUAAUUAAAGUCACCAACGGUAAAAGAUGAGCAUGCGUCCCAUUAGCUAGUUGGUAAGGUAACGGCUUACCAAGGCUACGAUGGGUAGGGGUCCUGAGAGGGAGAUCCCCCACACUGGUACUGAGACACGGACCAGACUCCUACGGGAGGCAGCAGUGAGGAAUAUUGGACAAUGGGCGCAAGCCUGAUCCAGCCAUGCCGCGUGCAGGAUGACGGUCCUAUGGAUUGUAAACUGCUUUUAUACAGGAAGAAACCCUGGUUCGUGAACCAGCUUGACGGUACUGUAAGAAUAAGGAUCGGCUAACUCCGUGCCAGCAGCCGCGGUAAUACGGAGGAUCCAAGCGUUAUCCGGAAUCAUUGGGUUUAAAGGGUCCGUAGGCGGUUUAGUAAGUCAGUGGUGAAAGCCCAUCGCUCAACGGUGGAACGGCCAUUGAUACUGCUAAACUUGAAUUAUUAGGAAGUAACUAGAAUAUGUAGUGUAGCGGUGAAAUGCUUAGAGAUUACAUGGAAUACCAAUUGCGAAGGCAGGUUACUACUAAUUGAUUGACGCUGAUGGACGAAAGCGUGGGUAGCGAACAGGAUUAGAUACCCUGGUAGUCCACGCCGUAAACGAUGGAUACUAGCUGUUGGGGGCAACCUCUAGUGGCUAAGCGAAAGUGAUAAGUAUCC